UAGAGUUUUGAUCCUGGCUCAGAACGAACGCUGGCGGCAUGCCUAAUACAUGCAAGUCGAACGAGACCUUCGGGUCUAGUGGCGCACGGGUGCGUAACGCGUGGGAAUCUGCCCUUGGGUUCGGAAUAACUUCGGGAAACUGAAGCUAAUACCGGAUGAUGACGAAAGUCCAAAGAUUUAUCGCCCAGGGAUGAGCCCGCGUAGGAUUAGCUAGUUGGUGGGGUAAAGGCUCACCAAGGCAACGAUCCUUAGCUGGUCUGAGAGGAUGAUCAGCCACACUGGGACUGAGACACGGCCCAGACUCCUACGGGAGGCAGCAGUAGGGAAUAUUGGACAAUGGGCGAAAGCCUGAUCCAGCAAUGCCGCGUGAGUGAUGAAGGCCUUAGGGUUGUAAAGCUCUUUUACCCGAGAUGAUAAUGACAGUAUCGGGAGAAUAAGCUCCGGCUAACUCCGUGCCAGCAGCCGCGGUAAUACGGAGGGAGCUAGCGUUGUUCGGAAUUACUGGGCGUAAAGCGCACGUAGGCGGCGAUUUAAGUCAGAGGUGAAAGCCCGGGGCUCAACCCCGGAACUGCCUUUGAGACUGGAUUGCUAGAAUCUUGGAGAGGCGAGUGGAAUUCCGAGUGUAGAGGUGAAAUUCGUAGAUAUUCGGAAGAACACCAGUGGCGAAGGCGGCUCGCGGACAAGUAUGACGCGAGGGGAAAGCUGAGCCACCCC
rnacentral:rRNA from 1 species